rfam:Amphimedon queenslandica AMPQTscaffold_13132_Cont7093, whole genome shotgun sequence.
UCACCGGUUCUUUUAAGAACUAUCAGGUUUAAAAAUCAUUAAUUU